CAGUCGCCACGGUAAUACGUAGGGUGCAAGCGUUAAUCGGAAUCACUGGGCGUAAAGCGUGCGCAGGCGGUUUGUUAAGACAGAUGUGAAAUCCCCGGGCUCAACCUGGGAACUGCAUUUGUGACUGGCAAGCUAGAGUGUGGCAGAGGGGGGUGGAAUUCCGCGUGUAGCAGUGAAAUGCGUAGAUACGCGGAGGAACACCGAUGGCGAAGGCAGCCCCCUGGGCCAACACUGACGCUCAUGCACGAAAGCGUGGGGAGCAAACAGGAUUAGAUACCCCUGUAGUCCCUGUCUCUUAUAC
rnacentral:rRNA from 1 species